rnacentral:rRNA from 1 species
UAGGGAAUCUUCCGCAAUGGGCGAAAGCCUGACGGAGCAACGCCGCGUGAGUGAUGAAGGUCUUCGGAUCGUAAAACUCUGUUAUUAGGGAAGAACAAAUGUGUAAGUAACUAUGCACGUCUUGACGGUACCUAAUCAGAAAGCCACGGCUAACUACGUGCCAGCAGCCGCGGUAAUACGUAGGUGGCAAGCGUUAUCCGGAAUUAUUGGGCGUAAAGCGCGCGUAGGCGGUUUUUUAAGUCUGAUGUGAAAGCCCACGGCUCAACCGUGGAGGGUCAUUGGAAACUGGAAAACUUGAGUGCAGAAGAGGAAAGUGGAAUUCCAGGUGUAGCGGUGAAAUGCGCAGGGAUAUGGAGGAACACCAGUGGCGAAGGCGACUUUCUGGUCUGUAACUGACGCUGAUGUGCGAAAGCGUGGGGAUCAAACAGG